rnacentral:pre_miRNA from 1 species
AUUUGAAACGUUUUAGCCAAAAAAUGUUUCCAUGAUCAAGGUGUUUUUUGCAGAAACGUUUCAGAUUU